UACGGGGGGGGCAAGCGUUGUUCGGAAUUACUGGGCGUAAAGGGCUCGUAGGCGGCCAACUAAGUCAGACGUGAAAUCCCCAGGCUCAACCUGGGAACUGCGUCUGAUACUGGAUGGCUUGAAUCCGGGAGAGGGAUGCAGAAUUCCAGGUGUAGCGGUGAAAUGCGUAGAUAUGCGGAGGAACACCGAUGGCGAAGGCAAUCCCCUGGACCUGUACUGACGCUCAUGCACGAAAGCGUGGGGAGCAAACAGG
rnacentral:rRNA from 1 species